ACACGACUACAUUAGAUACCCGGGUAGUCCUAGCCGUAAACGAUACUCGCUAGGUGUCGGCCACGGUGCGACCGUUGUCGGUGCCGUAGGGAAGCCGUGAAGCGAGCCACCUGGGAAGUACGGCCGCAAGGCUGAAACUUAAAGGAAUUGGCGGGGGAGCACCACAACGGGUGGAGCUUGCGGUUUAAUUGGAUUCAACUCCGGAAAUCUUACCGGGACCGACAGCAACAUGAAGGCCAGGCUGAAGACUUUGCCGGAUUAGCUG
rnacentral:rRNA from 1 species